GGGGUAGAUUGUAAUCCCCCGUAAUUUUAUAAAAUUUAUUAAUAUAUUUAACAUAUAGUUAAUUAUAUUUAAAUAGAAUUUACGAAUUUUAGAAAUUAAAAUGUAAUUAAUGAAUAUUUAUUUAUACGUUUUAAAUAUUUCAACGAUUUAUGAAAUCAAAAAUAAUUUAGAAUUUUAUGUUGAAAAGAAUUUGAAUUACGAAAACACAUUUGAACUUGGAAAUCAAUCCUAAUCGAUUUUGGACUAAAACGAACUCAAUUCUAAUCCUAGCCCAUAUUAAUAAAGCCCAAAACAAAUAACCCAUAAUCCUUCACCCUUGUUCAAUCCCAUGUGAAACACUCCCUCAACUUCACGUGAUAUAGAAAAAAAAAAAAAAAUCUCAAACUCUCCUUCCCUUUUCACGAUCCUCCUCCCUGCUCCUCUCUUUGCUCAGCCACCACCAGCAGCGCACCACCACCACCUGCUCGCGGACUCGUGGUUGUUCUUGCCGCGCCGCCUUGCUCUCACCGUCGUCGCCGCUGCCACCAUUGUUUCCUGCCGGCGACCAAGCCACCACCCGACACCGGUCUCCAUCGUCGCCACACUCAACCACCGUGCGCCGCUGUGCCCCACCUCGCCGCCCACUCGCUGCCGCGCCUGCCCUAACGCCGGCCAUCCACCCUUUUGUCUCUUUUUUGGUGGAGAAUUCUCCGUAGGCGACUUUUGAAUUAUUAAAGUGGUCUCGCUGUUUGUUUACACAAGUCUCUAAGGAUCAAUAAGCGUUGCCCAUCUACAGGUUUGAAGAUGAUGCAUCAUUGGGAUCGGGAUUAGAGAGCUUGUAGUUCAUUUGAUUUUCUAAGUUGGAUUUGGUUUGUUUAAGUGGACUCUAAAACUUAUUGAAUUAGUAACAUUAACUUUGUUUUUCGUUGAUUGGUUUUUGGGAUUUAUUCUGAAAAUGAUUAUUUAUAAACCUACAGUUAGUUUUAUGUUUUCCGCUGCAAAAUUCUGAAUAAGCCGUUACGUUUUCACACGGGCGAUAAUGCCUUGA